GGGUUCCCUCGGCUUUAGAGACUGCGCCCGGGGGGCGCACACGAUCCCAUUGCUUUUUGGUGACUCCACACGCUCGAACGGCUGUGUCUGCUUAUAGAAAAACAAGGCAGUAUUUGGAUUCUGCAGUGCCGGUGGCUGUAUGUCACCAGGAAGGGUUCCAUGUGACAGAAGGGAAAAACAACCUCUGAACGCCUGGACGUGUCGGCACGGGGCUCUCAGAGAGGGCCGGGGCCAAGCGGUGGGUCUGCAGCCAAGGCACAGGCUGGCAGCACGACGUGCUGCUAUUUCUGGCUUCCCUACCCAGUUCCUUCUGACCUUGGCCAAUCUGCCCACUUCACUUCUGUGCUCUUUUCCCUUUUUUUUCCUUCUAAAUAAGCGAUAAUCACACCUUCCUCCCCCGAAAUAGACAUAGAAGGUCCCUUCUGUUAAGGUGCUUUGAAAUCACAUGCAAGCCACUGCCAGGAAGCUGCGUGCUGUACUGUGUUUGAUGAAUCACUGUCAGGGCAGUGCUGGCUGCAGCAGCAGUCCUUCCCUUCCCCUCCCAGCUGUUUCCAUCCUGGCAGUGCUGCUACAGGUGUCAUGAGUAGGCACAGAGCACCAAUCCAAGUCAGCUUUUACCCUUUUCCUACCAGGUCACGCAUGCGUUCAUGCUUUACAGCCAGGCUGCCUGCUGCCCACAGUGCAGCCACAAAAACAACAACAGAUGCACUAGCAUGGCAGAGGGGUAAUGAUGGAAACAGUGCAUUCAGCAAAACUACCACUGAGCAUUAAACUGUAACCUUAGCAUUAUGUGAUUCAUACUUUAACAAUACAAUUUAACAGGACAGUACAUCUAGUUUAAUAAUGAUGAAUUUAUACAAACAAAACCUGCAGCCAGACUUGCUAGGUUGGAAAAAUCCUUUGUGUGUCAGCACUGACCAACAUCACAGCUAUGAUGUCUGCUUUGUGCUAUUCAGCUCAUUGUGUGCACAGACACUCAGUUACAUUCCUGAUGCUCUCCAGUUUUGCCCACUGUGAAGGCAUUGCUGAGUGGAGCAAGCGAGAAUUCUGUAUAAGGGCUACUGAGUCAGACCUUCUGUUAGUAAUAGCUCUUCCUAAGAGAUUUUAUGGGACAAACUCCAUUCAGUCAGAAGCUGCAGGGCCACACAUACAUCCAGAGGCACAGUCUGCCCAAAACUGUUUACAGAGGGCUGCCAACCUGAUUUCUUUAGUUCAUUUUGUGAGACUAACUCGGCUUCCAUGCCAUGUUGCACGGAAAGCACCUCCCCCUGUAUCUCCUGAUCCAGGAACUGCAGGCUGGGCAGUAAUCUCUGUGGUAACAAACCUCAGACCUCUCUCUCCUGUUAUGUAACAAGAUAAAUCUGCAGUUCUCAUUACACCCAGCCAAGUUGCAGCAAACAGUCAGAGUUUCUAGUCCAUGGAAGAACAAUGAGGAAUCUGAGAGAAAUGCAAAACCCAUCACACUAACGGUAAAGAUCAAAGUCUUUUCCACAGCUGACUUCUAAGCUUUUUCUCUCUUUUAUCUCUAGCUUUCUGCAGGAUGAGGAAAGAUUUAUGCCUGGCAGUUUCACACAGUUAAGUUUAAUAGGAUGCCAGUAGCAGCUGUCAAAGGCAGAGUCAAUUGUUCUUGCUAGGCUUUGGGAAUGGGCUUGCUCUUCUCGCCACACGCUGAAGAGAUUAAACCUGACUUGACUUCCAAGGACCAACCCAAACUGUAACUGAGCAAAUAGCUCUGUAGCUAUACCCUCACACUGUAUUAAUGUAGAAGUCAGUAUGUACAUAUGUACAUACACAAACAUGCACCACAGAGCAUACACACACCCACAAACACUUCACAGAAUACAUAUGCUAUUUCUAGGAACAGGGAAGGUCAGGCGCCCUCCCUGAACUCUGUGUGAACUAUUUCCAACUAAGAGCUGGUACCUUCUCUGCUGUUUGCCUGAUGCAGGUUUCAGAAUGAACAGUGUCAGCUUUCUCUGUCCUGCCUCUCAACUGGGCUCUUUUUUUAAAAUUUUACAUUUUCCACCUGUGGAAAAAAAAAUUGAAAAUGUGUGGAAGAUUUUCUUUGAGAAGGAAAAUGCAAGGAAAAUACCACGUAGCACAGCAUGCUACAAAGGGAGGCAACUGCAGAGGUACAGUUCUAGAAGGACUUCACAAGAAGUCAUCAAACCCACCCCCCUCCUCUGGCCACAGCCAAGAAUAUUCACAUCUUCCCAAACAGAAGUUCAUCAAGUUUCCCACUGAAAGUACUGAUAUGCUUUAUCACUUUACCUUACUAAAUAAGGGCAAUAAGCAAAAUGACCUUUUUAAUUUAUUAUUUUCUAGACAAAUGGAUUGCUUAAAACUGGGAACAUUGACUACCGCCUUCCUUUUAACAAGGCACAUGGUGCAUUCCUAUCAAUUCCUAUUUCUUCUUUUUGGGCUGCUGUUGACAGAAAACAGAGCAUGUAUGUUUAAGGGUUGAAGAAUGGAAAUGGAGAAUAUGCAGUCCUGUGAGUGAAGAACAGAGGCUUUAAUCUAAACUCUUAUUCUGAUUUGUUGUUUGACCUUAGGCAAGCUUCUGCAAGUUUGCCAUAUUAAUACUACUUAAGUCACAGAAGGCAGUUAUACUUGUGUAGUGCUGACUUAGAUUAAGAUCACAAAUCAACAUGAAUGUAGGAAGAAAAAUAUGAAAAUGUGCUGUGUUUUUUUUAAGGUAUUAAAGUACCUUCGUAGCUUUUCUGUUUCUUAAUUCUGUGGUGUGUGCAGCAGGGAUAGCAAAGCUAAGCAGUCAGCUAAACCCACAUUCUUAUUGGUUAGAAAGUGUUGAUGUAAAAAUAACAAGUUAUCUACAGGUGAGAUGUGUGAAAAAGGCAGAAUCAGAAAUGGCAUAUAGAUUACUGUUUGGGUUACAGUCAUUAAACUUCCAGUGAACUGGACAGAGCUGUUUAAGUGCCCCUCACUCACCAUGGGAACAGAUCUCAGAGUCAAGCAGAAGUGACAGUCCAAAACUGCUGUUUAAACCUCAGUAAUCGAAUGUUAUUAAAUUCAGUUAGCUUUCACUGUGAAAAGAACGAGGUUGCAGAGUUGCAUUAAAACAUACAAGAAUUCCAGUUCCUUUGGAAAAUGCAUGUUUAAAAUGCACAGCCACUCACUACAAGCAAGCAACUCCCGUAUCCCCUGCCAACAUAAAGGCAGUGAGGUUAUAAACUCGUACACAUAAGAAGAAAACAAAAAUGUUUUUCUUAUCUAGCUAGGGUUUUAGGACUGUGAUCAGAGUAGUCUUUGUAAUUCAACCUAGGAGCAAGGACCAAACCUUUCAGUAGAGCUACCAGCGUUUCCUCAUAAAAACGCAGGAUUCACAGACAUUCACAGUGCAGGGCUCUCACCUCUGGAUUUUAUUUUCCUUAGCUGACCUGAAAACAGAUUAAAACCGUUGGCACAUAGGUACAGUGAAAGACCUCUCUCUCCACAGGUGUUUGCCUGAAGGCUGUGGGAGGGGUUGUGUUUAUUUUGGGAAGUUGCCCUGUCUUCUCUGUGUAGAAUGGAAAACCUCUUUAUUUUCUCUGUGGGUUGCACACAUGGCAUUGGCAUGCAAGGACAGCCUCUUUCAUGGCUCUUAUAAAUGCACAUGGAUUUUUUUAAUGUCUAUUUACAAAAGCAAAGAUCCUGUUACUUAAAUAUAUUUACAGUAUAGGGCAAAUCUUUGUUGUUGUUUUGGUCUCAAGUUUGCCAUUCUCUUAGAAAAUUAGGGCUCAAAUUGGCAAAACCACAAGGAGGCUAAAGGAGUAGAAAGGAACAAAGGAUUAAUAAAGUUUCAUCCCAUACUUUGCUGAACUCUUUAAAAUAUGACAGUGUUGAGUUGGAACACUGCAUUUGACUGAUAACCCAGCACCUGAGGUAGGCAGGUGAGAAGCACAGCAAAAAUAAAUAUCCUAUCUUUUUUUUCAUUUUUCACUACCUUAUCUUCCACGUAUUCAAUAAGGACAAUCCCAAGUUUCACACAGAUAGUUGCUACUCCAUCCACAUAUGCUAAAAGGAUGAAAGAAAUCUCAUCACAAAGACCCAGAGAAAGGACUUUCUGGUCGAAAGAAGACCAUCUGAUAAACAGUGUUGCAACCUGCCUAUAACGUUACCUGUUUCCAUGUGGAGAUCUGCCAAGGCAGAAACCGUCUCUGGAAAGAGGAAGAUUUAGAGAUAGGAGAAAUACAGGCUGUCUUUGUUUACUCACGAUCUCUGCUCUCCAUCUCCAGGAAAUGAAUGCAUGUAGCCUGCAGAGUUUAAUUCUCUUUUGGUUUAUUACUAUUUAAAAACCAGUUUUUGCAUCCCCUUCUACAGAGGCUUCACCUUCCAACAGAACAUACAAAAAAUACACACAAUAGAAAAAAAAAAAAAAGAUAGGUAGGUAAGUUGCUUUAUACAAACAGGUCCCUAAGAACCCAAAAGGCUAAAACAGGCUCGGUUUCAAUAGAAGCAGGCCCAUAAAUAGGCAAGAAACUUCAUUCAAGUAGGGAAAGAGUCAUCCAUCCUCACCUAAGAUCCUUUCUUGCUCACACUGAAGAUAAUGGGAGGAUUCCCAACAACUUCAGUAGAAGCAGGAUUGAGAUUCAUCAGAGCCAAUGGCAAACUUUUCUGCUCCUUCCCUUCCAAGGCACUGUCUUGUCCACACAGCAUGCAGCCAGGGAAAAAUGCCAGACUUCCUGGCUCAUCCCCACACUUGUGUUUCGGUUGUUUGCUCUACAGGACAUCUGAGAACAGCCUUUUAUUUUCUCUUACACUGUGUAUUAGCACUAAUUGCUGCAGACUUCCAGAUUACAACAGUACUGAAGAGAAAUUCUGAUCCCAAGAGCAAGGCUUGGUUGAUUAUUUAAGAGCCAGCAGUCAGUCUGACAGAUUUGCAGAGGGCAUGUAAAAGUUGCCUGGAAAAGGCACCAGUUUGUAGACACAGCAGCCAAAAAGCUAUUAGCGGGAAUGAGAUUGAUUUAUUACAAAAGCACUUACCCACGCUCACUAUGUGGCUGCAGGAAGCUCAAGAGCAUUUAUAGCUGCCAGUGGCUGUUUGAAGUGACCCCAUGGUCCACAUGGAACCCAGGAGCUAAGAGGGAGUCACUGGAACGUCAGUGAGACACCAGUUACCUCCUUCCUUCAGCACAUCUCAGCUCAAAGCACUUCCCAGUCUCCAAAACUGCAGUACAAGUAGAGAAGCCACCCAGGAAAAGCUUCAUUCACAUAAACCCUGAGAGCAGAUCAAUAACACCAGGCAGUCUUUGAAUUUAUUUAGAUAUUUCACCUUUUGGGAAGAACGUAGCCGAAUGCUUAACUUUGCAUCAUGCCUGGAGUCAGUGGGGCCAAAUGUUUGUAGCAGUUAAGUAGCACUAUUGUGCAGGACAGUUUGGCACCUGAAUCACUCUUACUCAAGGUUAUCAUCUCAUUUUUCAUAUUGGAACUAAACACAGGAAGAGGCCAGAGAUGACAUAAGGUGUUAAUUCUUUACAAAGAGGCAGUCAUUACCCGCUACCACAGAGCAAACAACUGUGGUUUUCCACUAGCAUGCUUUAACCAUUCCAGCCAUCCCCACAGCUCCGUAUAGCCAGGGUUCUUGCUCCUGUUCUGCAGGACUCUGUAGUUAUGUCACUUUUUUUUUUUUUUUUUCCUGUUUAGCCAAAUCGUUCUCCUGUUUGUUUUACAGGUAGCAUUGUUAAUCUGUAGAACUGUGUGUAUCCAAAUAGGUACACACACUGGCAAAGGAAUGUAUGGGGGUGAAGCUAUCAAGGGAGCAGGCAGAAAAACAUUCUGCCAAUGCUGUUGCUGCUGCUGAUCCUGCAACAGUAAAGAGUGGCUUCAGGCUGCAGCCCAGCCACUGCCUCCCUCUCCGUCCAAGGCUCAGUGCUCCUAAACACACAGCUUUCUUAAAGGGACACAGAGCAGCAGACAGGGCUGAAAGCCACAUCUAUUCCCAAAGGCUCAUUCACAACGGCCAAAGGUUCUUAUUUAGAAAAGCAUGUACAGGAUAAAAGGCCGGACUCUCUCAGGAGACAGGGGCAUCUUCCACAAUCUGUUUUCUUUUUAAAAUUUUUCUUUUUUCUUUUUUUUUUUUUCCCUCUUUGCUCAUUUGUUUUGUCUCUUGGGUUGGAACUGAGAGCAUAAGCUCAGGGACUCAAUGUGAGCUUAUGUUCUAUUCAGUUAAAACUCAUGUACUGUGCCCAUGCAAAAGGUGAAUGGUAUAAAGCUGGCUUAAUUCACGUUAAGAUAUUCAUAAUGCUGUUAAGGUAUAUUCAUAAUGCUGAAAAAGCCAACGUGUUCCAUGGUUUUGUUUGGCACUUGCUCUCAGAGUUUCUGCCACCCUGAACCAUCAAAAAUAUUUCUGUUUUUGUGGAUGAUACAGAAAAGCCUUUCCUGUUUCAUUACAUAAAAUUUUGAUAGUUGUGUUUUCCUUUGUCCAUUCAUCUCUCAUGAAACCCAGAGAAAGCUCUCGCUUUCCAUUUGUUCUUCCAACACUGAAGUCUGGAGUUCCUUUGAAAUUUACUUUGGCAUCUACUUCCUCAAGCAAGCACCUUAAAAAAAAUUAAGCUGAAAGUGGUACCCCACUCCAGACUCAGGACAAAAAUUCAAAUAUUGAAUUCUAGGAACAAAGAUUUCGGGAAAAAAACCAAACCAAAACAAAAACAAGACACUAAAGCUACAACAGAGCCUACAAAAUCUAGGUUAGAUUUCAUACUAUCAAUUCCAUUAGUUGAGUUAGGUAGACAUUCAGUUACACAGCUUUUCUAUUCAAGUCAAGUCAUUCCUUACUGCUGAUAGCAGUUAAGGGAAAAACAGUAAUUUCAGAGAAUACUUGGGAAAUAACAAACAUUCCCUAAGUCACUGGCACUCAAAUGGGUCUAAAACUGUGACUGGGCAUUUGCAAUUAUUCAAAAGAUUGGAAUGAGGACCAACUCCUCACCAUCUUACAGUUCUAGGUUAAAAAACAAACAAACAAAAAAGAAACACCUCCCCCCAUAAUACUUUGACCUAUUAUACUUAAGGCACUGGGUUGAGAGAAGGAAACUCUGAGUUCAAUUUCUGGUUCUGCUAUCAAUUUCCCACAUUAUCAUGGGCAAAUCACUUAAGACUGAGAGCUCACAUGCCAUCACAUUACCAUGCAUCAGGUAAGUCACACCAGUCAGUCUGUUUGCAGACACCUAGCAUGUGGCAAAUGCAAGGUGAUGUGACUUAAUGUAAUUUGGUAUGGAAUAAACUCAUAUUAAAUUGUUUUACCUGGCACUUGUGGUGGACAUAACUUACUUCAGGCAAAAAGAAAAGCCUACUGAUAAGUCUGAGCCCCUGCAUUCAACACAACAUUUAAGCAUGCAUGCCACCAUUUUUUUGUGUUUCAACUCCGUUUCAUUCAUUCACUUAUGAAAUGCUAGCAUCUAUUCCUUUCUUGUCUAUCAUUUAUAUCUAGAUUAUCAAGGUUUGAAAAUAUUUUCAUACCUAAUACAGAAGGGUCUGAACCACGGUUGAGGGGUUUAAGCACUCCCAUAAUACAAAGAAGUACUACUAAUCUCAUUAUCAGAAUUUGUAUUAACUGAAGUUCCUUCCUUUGCAGAGCAGUGCACUGACUUCAACACUGGAUUGCAGUCCUAGCAAAUAACAAAAAAGAUAGUUAUCAUCUAUACACUGACAUGACAGUUAAAAAUGUAAUAGAAACAAGCUAAAUGAGGUUGCAGCUUGAGGCAUUUUAAGUAUUUCCCUUUGAACCCUGAACUGAUGAGGCUGAGUUUUCUGUUUGGAUCUCUUUUAUGAUUUAUGAGCAGCAGACACUUCCCAAAGUGUAGGAUUUGCAGAUAAGUUCCUAUCUAGAACUGAAUAAUAUGCCUCCAAAACAGGAGAGAGCUCUGAAAAUCCAUUUCUGCUGAAGACCUGUUAGCACUUGUCUGCACUAAUCUCUGUGUUGGUGCAAAUCUCUCCCAUUUACACUAGAAUGAUCUAGAACUGUCAUUUCAGGAUUGUUAACUUACUGCCUAAUUGUUUCCUUGCUCACUAGACUGAGAAUUAAAUAGCUUUCAUUCAAUUCAUUCAUGACAACUUAGUAAGCAUUUUCUUUGACAAGCAAAAUGCACGGUGUUUUAGAAGGCUUCCUUUUUAGCUCAAGGCUUUUCAUUAGUUUCAUCAGGCCAAAAUCUGUAGCUUUCCAAAUGAAAUUCCAGUGUGCAUGGUGCCAAAUUCAACUCACCAAUAACAGUAAAGUCAGUGGAGCUAAAACUAGGAUAAAAAUAACCUGUAUUCUGGAAAUGGAUUUUAUGACUACCGCAUGUUCUCAAAGUGCUAGGAACACCGAGGACACAAACUUUGCAUAUCUUUCAGAACACAGCCUCAAUUCUACAGAAAUCUUCCUCACGGCUUACUGCUCAUUACUAAAUACCUAAAUACUAGCUACUUGCAAGUCAGCAUGACUGCAGUUGCAUUUGCUAAUUCCAAUGAAUUGUUAUGCUGACUGGAAAGCCUGCUCUAUCUUGAAUUGCUUGGCAGCUUGCAGGGUUGUCUCAACAUAAUCUAGAUUCUGUUACCUUCCUGAAAUGUCCUGUUUCUACUUGUCAAAUAAGUGUAUCAGUACACUUUAGUUUAAAAGAGUUUUGUGUUGAUUUUUUGUUUUUCUUUCCCUUUUAGAUGAGACUCAUGCCUAUUCCAGGGAUUCUGGGGGAAGAUGAUUGGAGAAGAGCAUGUCCUUCAGUCUUCCAACCUAGAUUAAUAGCAAAAUUUCAAGUCCAUAUUUGCAUAAAAUAUGCAAAUCUAGAAAGCACUGGUACUAUAAAGUCUUUCAUUAUUCAACCUCAGUUUAAAAUACUCAAGAGCAAGCUUUAAAAAGUGGCUUGUUCUAAGAGAGAACCUGCUGUUUCUAAGCCUGUAGAGUUUAGAAUGGCAUCCUAAAACCUUUAUGCUUAGAAAGGGCUCUACACUUCAAACACAAAACCAAAAUAGGACUGUAUCCCACAAUGUCUUGUUUUAGCUGCUGACUUCGGACUCUGUAUUUGGGCAAUACAGAGUGCCAAAAGAGCAGUUUGUGGCUACCUCCUCAUUUCAUAUAAACAUACCUCUUAGAGAGGAUGUAGAUCCUGGUCUGUGGUGGUCUAUGCUGAGACAGCACUGUAUUAAUGAUGGGGACAACUAUUAUUUCACAGAGUGCAAGUUUGGUGUGGAACUUGGCCUCUUCAAAGUGGCCUUUCUAGAAACAGUCAGUGCAUACAUAGGAGCUUAAUUUGCCAAAUCACCCCUUAAACCUCUGCUCAUUAACCCUCAUAACAAUUAAGUGAUGUAGAAAAAACUUCUCACAUAUAGGAAAUCAAGAAAUCAAUUCAAUGAUUAUGCCACUGUCUAUGCAACUUUGACCAUCAAUAGAAGAACCAUAAUUAGAACUCAGGAGUAUUCCUAACUCAUAACCCUGUGUUUAGUUAAUUAAAUAACACUUAUAUCUGGACUUGCUACAUAAAGAACUUGAAAAAAACUACAUGGGAAGAGGGAGGGCCAAGAAAGGACACUAUUUCGGCUCAAGUGGUAUUUUCAGAUUAAACAGAACCUCAAACAGCCUAUAAACCCUGCUUCUUCGCCUUCUGUAAUCAAUUCUUUUUCAGAGAUCUACCGUUCACACUCUCUUAUAGUAGAAACCUUUCUUGGAAAAUAAAUGAACAAGACUGGCUUUUGCAAACCUGACUAAAGGUAGAUCAGGAGAGCAAGACUGUAGCCAAAAAGCCCAGGUCACUGAGAGUACAGUACAAUGGAGAGAGGGAUUAACACCAUAUUUACUGGUUCUCAUUUGCACACCUUUUGGACAGGUGGCUAAAUUGUUCAAAAACCAGACCAAACAAGGGGAUGUAAAGUAACAUACUAACUUCUUUAAUACAGUCCAAUCCAAUUAAAUCAAAACCACUUUGUGAACCCCUGGGUUUAUUCACACUAAACAAGUCAGUGGUACAUCGUGUUAACCCGAUAGCUGGAUUGUGUUUAUACCGGUACCAGGUCCCACAUGAAAAUUGAGCACCAGUCAACCAGACUGCAAUGGUAUUUUUUCCUUUUUUUUUUUUCCCCCAUAAAACUAUUUCUUUCAUAGACUUAAAAACAACCAACUAGCCAAGUUAUUAAUUAUGGUACACCUAAAAAAAAAAAAGAAUACUAACCCUAACGUGACUGCUGCUUUAAGAGUGCUCUGUGUCUCGCCUUAGACUGGCUUUUCAG